rnacentral:lncRNA from 1 species
UCCUUCUCUUCCACCUCCGGCUGCUCCUCGGCCUCGUCCUCCUCCUCCACGGUCGCGUCGGGGCUCAGGUCCAGGCUCUUCUGCACCGACUUGUAGAUGCUGGACGCGAACUCCUUGGGGUCGGGGAGGUUGAACCCGCUCUCCAUCAGGGCGGUCUGGUACACCAGCCUCGCCGUCUGCUUCAAGCCCUCGCUCUGUUGCCAUCAGGUAAAACACGUUAGCCACCAUGGUUUUCCUGACAUUCUUUGGGGAUCAGCAAAAGGCCUUUGGAAGGAGAUUAUGUUACCUCGGUGUCCUGGGCGACCUUGUCACGGAGCUCCUUGAUGAUGGGGUGCCUGGGGUUGAUCUCCAGCACCCUCUUGCCGCGCAUGUACGCCUGCUUGCUCGAGUCGGAGAGGGUCUGCGCCUGCAUGAUCUUCUCCAUGUUGGCGCUCCACCCGUACUUGGAGGUGACGACGACGCAGGGGGUGUCAUGCAGCCGGUUGCUGAUCUUCACCGAGUCCACGUUCUCGCUCUCCAGGGCCUUCUUCCACCAGUCGGUCAGCUCCUUGAAAGACUCCUUGAGGUCCUUGAGCUUGGAGUCCUUGCCCAGCUUCAGGCCCUCCUUGGAAACGUUCUGGAACUUCUUGUCCUCGUAGUCCAUCAGGUAUUGCAUCAGGUACUCGUCCACUGGGUCAGUGAAGAAGAUAACCUGUGAAACAAAUACAAUUGCAGUAUUAAUUCACAAACUGUAUCCAGGUACGAAACUAAAGUUGACUUAUAAAGCAACUAUAGGCGACAGAGAGCAUGUGAUCUGGUUCCCGGAUGGACAACUAUUUUACAUCCAGAUCAGCAUCAUACCUCAUAGUUCUUCUUGGUUAGCCUCUCAAGGAACGGAGACUUCUC